rnacentral:rRNA from 1 species
CCUACGGGAGGCAGCAGUGAGGAAUAUUGGUCAAUGGCCGGAAGGCUGAACCAGCCAAGCCGCGUGAAGGACGAAGGUGCCAAGCAUUGUAAACUUCUUUUGUCAAGGGACAAAAUCAGGCUCGAGAGCCUGACCGAGGGUACUUGAAGAAAAAGCAUCGGCUAACUCCGUGCCAGCAGCCGCGGUAAUACGCAGGAUGCGAGCGUUAUCCGGAUUUAUUGGGUUUAAAGGGUGCGUAGGCGGACUGUUAAGUCAGCGGUAAAAGCCCGGGGCUCAAACCCGGCGAGCCGUUGAAACUGGCGGUCUUGAGAUGUCGAGAGGUAUGCGGAAUGCGCAGUGUAGCGGUGAAAUGCUUAGAUAUUGCGCAGAACUCCGAUUGCGAAGGCAGCAUACCGGCGGCGAUCUGACGCUGAGGCACGAAAGCGUGGGUAUCGAACAGGAUUAGAUACCCCUGUAGUC